CGACAUCGGACCAGUGAUCGCCAGUCAUUUCGUCGUCGGUGGUGGCAGGUAGUUCUCCGGAACCCAAGUCCUUCUACGGCUUCCAGAAGGUUGCAACAGCCGGUCCAACGUGUCCGAAGGAUCAUCGUCGUCAUCAUUGCAUCAGUGUACAACUCGGUUUCAUAAACUAAGCACUCAAGACAUCGAAGACAUGAGGAACACGAGCGGACUCUGGAUGGAGAAGAAAGAGCGAGUUGGAAAAGACGGGAAACGUCUUCUUUCGCCAGACAUCGUGUUCGGUCAAUCCGAGUAAAAAAAUAAAAAGAAAUGGUGACAUGCCACCUUUGUCCUCUGGCCGAUCGGCAGCACUACACAACAGCGCUGGGACUUCAAAUUCAUCUGGCUAACGUUCAUAACCUUGCAACACCCUGUAUCCCAUUUUGUGAGACACUCUGUACGCUCCGCAACUAUACCAACCGCUAUGAGCUUCAUCUACAUGACAGAGACGACGACGGGCAGGAUGUCAGCACAUUCUUUCAUGAAAACGGACGCUACCUUGCCAGUGUACUUCGACAUUUCGGAUUUCCGUUACGCUUUUAUGUUUUGCUGAAGGCGGAACUCGGUCGACAUACGCCUGAGGAUGAGAUCAUAUUUGUCACUCAAUUUAUUCCUUCGAGUGUGCAUACGCUGUGGUCGGAACGAGACGUAGAACGUGCUGUCAUUGAAGUAGGCACUGAAGUCACCAACAAUUUAGAAAAGCUUGAA